rnacentral:rRNA from 1 species
ACGAACGCUGGCGGCGUGCUUAACACAUGCAAGUCGAGCGGUAAGGCCCUUUCGGGGGUACGACGAGCGGCGAACGGGUGAGUAACACGUGGGUGACCUGCCCUCAGCUCUGGGAUAAGCCCGGGAAACUGGGUCUAAUACUGGAUAUGACUCCAUGACGCAUGUUGUGGGGUGGAAAGCCUUGUGCGGCUGAGGAUGGGCCCGCGGCCUAUCAGCUUGUUGGUGGGGGAUGGCCUACCAAGGCGACGACGGGUAGCCGGCCUGAGAGGGCGACCGGCCACACUGGGACUGAGACACGGCCCAGACUCCUACGGGAGGCAGCAGUGGGGAAUCUUGCGCAAUGGGCGAAAGCCUGACGCAGCGACGCCGCGUGAGGGAUGACGGCCU